rnacentral:rRNA from 1 species
UACGGAGGGGGCGAGCGUUGUCCGAAGUUACUGGGCGUAAAGCGCGUGUAGGCGGGUUGCCAAGUCCGCUGUGAAAGCCCGAGGCUCAACCUCGGAGGGUCGGUGGAUACUGGCAGUCUUGAAGGUGCUAGGGGGAGAUGGAAUUACCGGUGUAGCGGUGAAAUGCGUAGAGAUCGGUAGGAACACCAGUGGCGAAGGCGGUCUCCUGGGGCACUACUGACGCUGAGGAGCGGAAGCGUGGGGAGCGAACAGG